CUGUUGUUGAAGCCAUGCUGGGCGCCACGGUCGGACUGCUGCUGUCGCUUCUGACCCAUGGAAGUCUGAGGGUGUGUUUACCUGCGCAGUCCCAUGUUCAGUCUGAAAAAGGAAGUUCGUCCACACCUGAAGGUUCUCCGCUCAGCUCCACUGUGCAGCCCGCUCACACUGACCUGACACCGAGGUCUGAUCCGCCGGGCAGCACUUUCGUUCUCGUCCCGCUUCCUGCUCCACACAUGCAUGAUGAUGACUCCCAAGCUGCAGCAAAACCUCAAGUUGCCAUAGAAACCAAGACCACAGCCGGCCGAGCCGCAAAAGCAAAACCAAACACUGAAGACGAGGAAGUGCCAGAAAACUCCAAACCCCUCCCUCAGACUCUGAAAGAGAUUUUUCAUUCCAAUUCUCCCAAAAUGGUGACACUGAGAGAUGAACAGGGCUCCACAGGCAUUACUACCAACAGCCCAGAUGGUGAAGAACCUCCUCAUGUGACUGAUCAGCCAUCACUUUAUCAAUCUAAUGGUGUCACCAAAAUGGGCUGUGAUGAGACUCCAACUUCAAAUCCACAGACUCAAUCACCUCAGAGUCCUGCAGAAAAAAGUCAGAAUAUCUCUGAUGAGCCUCAGUUUGCUCCAACAUCUCUUCUAGUUGUUGUGUCCACCACAGAAUCUGCACUCGGCGCCUCCAGAGAGAAGCUUUUAUCUGAGGAAGGAGAGAUGAUGGAAGGUAUUCCCAGUCCAUCCUCCUCAUCAUCCUGGAUUCCAGCAGUCACUCUCAGUGCGUCUGGACUGGAGGAAGAAAUGCCCCAAAAGCAGGCGGAGUCACUGGACUCCGCAUCCCCUCCCAAAGCCCCGCCCACAAACCUGACCGCCUCAUCUCCCACACAGCAAAGCACGGAUGCAUCAAGUACCAGCGAUUCAGAGAUCCGGCUGGGUAACGCUGUACUCACCACAAGUAAAGAAACAAAAGAAAUGGAGGCAACUUUUCCCCCCGCAGCAAACGUGAUGCUGCUUCCAGAUGAAGAACAAGAGAGCGGGAUGAAGAGGGAUGAAGAUGAAGCUGGUGUGGAUAUAGAGAAGGGACGGUACGGACAAGAGGACAAGGACAAAAUAAUUCAUCAAACCCACGCUGAGAGAUUUUUCAAUCAGAACGUGGAUUCUUUGGUCAAAGCAGAGAGAAAUCCAACAGUUCCAAACACAGACAGACAUCAGGACACCAGACCAGAUCCUGGAGUCAGAGGUCAAAGGGGAUUGCACGGCCCACCAGGGCUACCAGGAUACCCGGGACCUAAAGGAGAUAAAGGGGACCGAGGUGUCGUGGGCAGACCCGGACAAACCGGAGACCGAGGAGCUGUUGGUCCACCUGGGAUGCCUGUGACCUUUGUGAUCACAGCCUCUGAAGAAGAAUGGAAGGCGUUCAAGAGAAAGAAAAUCUACAAAAACCUCGUCUCAUCCUGGCCGGUACGUCAUUCCUGUUCAUUUAAGACUUUACUAUUCAAUUUUACAAACAAGGUCAUAUUUUUCUUUAUUCCCAGCGUGUGUCAACAUGUAUUUCUGUCAGAUCUAUGAAGCUGUUGUUGCUGUGCACAUUGAUGUUUUUUCCUAGAAACGUACGGGCCCCCCAGGCCCCCGUGGGUCCCCAGGAGAAGAGGGGCCAAUAGGACCGCCAGGAAUGAGAGGAAAACAAGGAAAAAGAGGAGUUCAAGGGAAAAUUGGCAGUCGUGGUCCACAUGGAAUUCCAGGUCCUCAAGGGCGACCUGGAGUAGAUGGCAUCCCAGGACACAAUGAGGAUCCAGGCCCUCCGGGCUUGCCUGGAGAUCAGGGUCCCAAAGGUUACAUGGGAGAACAAGGCAGCAAAGGGGAGCAGGGUGAGUGGGUAAGAGCGCAUUCGACUUCCUGUUUCAUCGUAAAUAAAAAGGCAAAGACAUUUAGAGUGAAAAUGUAGGUCAUUAGGUGUCACAUACCUGGUUACCAGACUGACUAAUAGAUUGACAGAAAGUUGUGAGCUGCAGAAAUCUGAAAUAAUUUCUUUAGUUAUUAAUUAUUAGGGUGAAAAAAUGUCAAGAAGAGACCCUCUUGAAGCUGAUUUUAAGGUAAGGUUGCAGCUGAAUUGAAUUGAUUGUUUUAGCAGAAUGCGUAAAUAAAUUCCAUAAGAGGGAAAAUUUAUGAGCAAAGUUGAGGAAAGGAUCAGUGAUUAACCACAGAUUAAGUUUUAUCAAACAAACUGUGGGCAGCAAACAACCAGGAACUAUUUGGAGGUUGAUAACCCCCCACCUUAAUCCAACCCUAAAUACUGAAUUUCAAACAGGAAAACGUUGUUGUUGUUUUUUUUAUGUUUGCUAAGUCUGUGGAUUUGAAGCCACGAUCUUCUAGUCUCAGGUCAGACAAUCAGGUUAGCGAAACCAUUUUUUAAGCCUUUUUUGUCUUUUGGCACUGGGAGAAAAAGGAAACCAUUUCUUAUUGGACCUCACAUAUUUUUAAUAAUAUUUACAUGUUCAAAUUAAUUCAAAUAAAAAAAUUUCUGAAGCACCUUGCAUGAAAAAAGAACAGCUGAAGAUGCUGUACAUAAAAACAAACAAGAAUGCAAAACAGCAAUC